CAUAAUUGUAAUAUACUUAUUAAGUUAAAAUCCCCCUUUAGCGUUUUGACUUUUACAUGAGAAAAAGAAAAAGUAGCAGGCAUCUGGAACAUGUUGUAAAAUGGUGUGGAAGGCCAACGGAUUUCGUACUGUAAAGUGUUACUUGUUCUAUGGCCAGCCAUCUAUAAAUGUUCUGAUAUGUCAAAAUGGGGUCUUACCAUUUUUCAAAGAAAAAGGUAAGAUCAGGUGGAGGUAUUAUUUUGUUGCGUUUUCACACUCACUUUUCUAGUUUUCAACCUUCCAAUUAGACCAAAAAGAUACCUAUGAAGACUAAGACAUGUAAAAUGCCAUUGGUGACCUCCUUCUAAAAAUGUUUUUCAUACUUCUUUCGUGCCAAUGGCAAAGGCAGUAAUUAAUAGCAAGAUCAGUCCACAUAUACCAGCCUACCAUCAACAUAAAUUAAUUUUCUCUCUAUACAUGCUGUUGUAAGAGUCUCCUUAUGUUGACUUCCCCCUCACAGGAUGAGGUUUAAAAGAACUACAGAAAGCUGUAUCUAAAUUGUGGAGAGAAGUUCAGUGCUGAGGCUACUGGCAGAGUGCAUUGGACACUCCUCACAAUGUCCUCGGGGAAGGUCUGAGAUUAAAGCUAAUGGCUGCUUUCACAAAGCAUUGCUUGACCCAAGCAAGUGGGUUCCCAUCAACAUUGGUAAGCUUGAUCCUUCAAAGCAGAAGAUGUAGUUCUCUCUCAGAAUGUGGAAUUGCUACAGAUGUGAUGUCAUCAAGCUUGGAAGAAACUCACAGCUGGCUGUUGUAAGUCCAAUAACUGAAAGGAAGCUCCCAGGUGUUUCCUAACUCAAUUCAGACUACUCUCUCUCCACUUUUGCACAACCAUCUGUCUACAGCUCCCUUUUGGCAGAAAAAUGCAAUGUUGACGUUUCAGAAUCAUCAAUUUUAUUUACAUUAAUGAGCAUCUACAUGAAAUAAAAACAUCUCUUGUAUUUUCAAAAAUAAAUAUCACGAAACCGAUGCCGAAACAUGUUGAAUGAAUGUUGAAGAGGCAAACUAAUAUGCAAAAAGUGUUCACGAAACAAUCACUAUUUUCAUAAUUGUAAUAUACUUAUUAAGUUAAAAUCCCCUUUUAGCGUUUUGACUUUUACAUGAGAAAAAGAAAAAGUAGCAGGCAUCUGGAACAUGUUGUAAAAUGGUGUGGAAGGCCAACGGAUUUCGUACUGUAAAGUGUUACUUGUUCUAUGGCCAGCCAUCUAUAAAUGUUCUGAUAUGUCAAAAUGGGGUCUUACCAUUUUUCAAAGAAAAAGGUAAGAUCAGGUGGAGGUAUUAUUUUGUUGCGUUUUCAAACUCACUUUUCUAGUUUUCAACCUUCCAAUUAGACCAAAAAGAUACCUAUGAAGACUAAGACAUGUAAAAAUGCCAUUGGUGACCUCCUUCUAAAAAUGUUUUUCAUACUUCUUUCGUGCCAAUGGCAAAGGCAGUAAUUAAUAGCAAGAUCAGUCCACAUAUACCAGCCUACCAUCAACAUAAAUUAAUUUUCUCUCUUUACAUGCUGUUGUAAGAGUCUCCUUAUGUUGACUUCCCCCUCCCAGGAUGAGGUUUAAAAGAACUACAGAAAGCUGUAUCUAAAUUGUGGAGAGAAGUUCAGUGCUGAGGCUACUGGCAGAGUGCAUUGGACACUCCUCACAAUGUCCUCGGGGAAGGUCUGAGAUUAAAGCUAAUGGCUGCUUUCACAAAGCAUUGCUUGACCCAAGCGAGUGGGUUCCCAUCAACAUUGGUAAGCUUGAUCCUUCAAAGCAGAAGAUGUAGUUCUCUCUCAGAAUGUGGAAUUGCUACAGAUGUGAUGUCAUCAAGCUUGGAA